UAAUGAAUAAAAAUGGUGAAAAAAUUGGAUGUUUUUUUUUUCUAUUUUUAUCUUUGUAAUUAAUAUAUUGUCAUCCCUCAACUUUUUGUUAGGCUUAAGAAUUUUGCUAGAAAUAAGAAAAUAAUAUGUUCCUUUUUAUGUAGAGAGGUUUUCCUAACUAAGAGGAAAUUUGUAUAUAGUGUUCUUUUUCAUACACAACAAUAAACAAAUGGUAUUUUUUUCAAUAUUUUGGGCAAUUUUUUUGCUUUUUAUAAAUGCUGUUUAAACGUGUCUUGUUAUACAAGGGAAGGAAUUUCCUACCAGUUUUAUUUACCUUUUUUACGAGACAAAAGAUUUUUUUACUGCUAAAAUUUUUUCACUCCGUAACAUUUACUCAAAGGAGUCAAUCUGAGUAUUCAAGCAUUUAAUUAAAUCAUGUUUGGUGUAUCUAGCAGUUAUCACCCAACUUCUUUCUUUUACAAAUAUGGCUUUAUUUUUUAAAUUUUAUGAUAUUUUUACUUAAAAAAUAAUAAUAUAAAGUGUGAAAAAUUUAUGCUUAAAAACAGAUAUUUAAAAUAUUAUUAAUAUUUGCCAACAAAAAGUUACUUUAUAUACCUACACAUUUUGAAAUUGGAAAGCUAUUUGGAAGAAUUUUAAUUCAUGGAUCUAACAAAACCAAUCUAACCAUGUAGCAUAUUUAUGUUUAAAUUUACCUAUGAGGUUAAAUAUAGUAUUUUCUAUAUUUUUGGGAACUUAUGUUAGCCUAUAUAUUUGUUUCUAGCUCAUAUUUUAAAUCAAACAUUUGAACUAUGAACUUAGAGAGCUUCAAAUGGGUACUAGUUCAUUUUUUUUUCCUGGAGAUUUCGCUUAUUCCCCUUUUUUUCAAGUAUUUUUUUAAAUUGCUGUUUCCCUGUCAGUGUACUUUUUGAAAAUGAAAGAUGCAUAAUUUUUUUGAUCAAUUUUUUUGAUUUGCAAAAUGAUCAAAAAAAUAUUAGCAAUCUGUUAAUCACAGAAAAAGUUAGGUAAACUAUUAAAGAAAUUAUCGAGGAAAAUUUAUUCUGUAUUGUAGAAAAAACAUGAUCCAAAUCGGUACUCCCAUUCUCCAGUUAUUAGAAUAAAUGCAUACAUAGACUUUUGCUUUUAUAUAUAGGGAAAUUAUUAUUAGUUCGUAUAUUUUUCCUUUCUAUUCUUCCUUUUAUCACAAUAUCGUGCCUUAUAAUUGAUGUAAACUAACAUUUAAAUCAAACUUUUAACAAUUCAUAUCAUAGUAUAUUUAUCUAUAUCAUAUUCAUUUAUAUACAUUCAUUAAUCUUAUUCGUUUGUACACAUUAUGUGAAUUCUAAUCAUUAUUAUUUAUUAAUUAAUUAACAUUUAUAAAUUAACAAAAGAUGUUAUGUGUGUUUUUCAUUUCUGCUUUAUAUUUGUUGUAAAGUUUAACAAACACCCUCUUCUACCUUUAAUGUUGUUACUUAUUAGCAACUCUGGAAUGUAGAGGGAACAUGUCUCCUUUAAUAAUUUUUUUUCUUUAGUUCUUGGGAUAAACAUUUCAUUACAUGUUGUUUUAAGUGCUUUUUCAUUACAUUCAAAAUACAGUUGAUUCCCUAUAAUUUUAAGUACAGUAACUUGUUUUUUUUAUGAGCCUUUAACCCUUUCAGCUUUAAUUUUAUAAUAAUUAUUCUCAAUUUCUCUGCUUUUAUUCCCUAUAAAUCGAUUUUUAUUUCUAGAUAUAGACCAUGUCUUUAUUGUUGAAUAAGGCUUAGAAAAAAAAUUUUUGUAAAAUUUAUACUGAGUUUGCUACAAUUGAAAGUAUACCAUAACUUGAUUUUUAUAUGAGCUAUUAACCCUUUUAUUUUUAGUGUCAUAUUAAUCAUUCUUAGUUACUUAAUUUUUAUUCCUUUUAGCUUGAUUUUUUAUAAAUGUCAAUAUCUCUUAUAGUUAAAAAAAAACUGAUAACACAUGUGUGGUUAAAGUAAACUUUUCUUUUGUUUGUAUUGUUAGCAUUCAUACUGUUCUGCAUUGCCUUAGAAUUUGGAAAUGCAUAGAUUCAAGAAUGAAAUAAGUUAUAUUAAAAAACAAAUCUAUCAAUGUACUGUAUAACUUUUGGUUGUGUUUUGAUUGUAUCAUACAAGUAUAAAAAUUCUCUUUUUUUCAGGCAAUUUGAAAUUAUACUCUUCCCAUCCUACGAAGAGCAAAUCAAAUUUUCUCUACCAUUUAUGUGAUAUUUGUGGUUAUAGUACCAAUAACCGUGGAAAUAUGUUCAAGCAUGUUAAGGUUCAUUCGAAAGAGCGACCAUUUGUCUGCAAAAUAUGUUGUAAAAGUUUCAAGCAUAAGUAUAAUCUCGAACGGCAUAGUAUAACACACUUAUCAAAUUUGUAAUACCUGGUAAAAUAAUUUGCUAAUCAUAUAUAAUGAAGAAUAUUGUUGAAUAUAAGUUUAGGUUGCCAUUUUUUAAAUGAAAUUUGAAUGCAACCAUGUAUGACUGUCUCGUGGAGUAAUUUUUUUCUUAAAUUUUUAAGAUUCUGAGAGCUGUUACCCUGGCCACAGGUUUAUGACACCAUUAGGCCUAUCUUCUUACAUAAAUUAAAAGAAAUUUUCAACUUGCAUGGUAUAAUUUGAAUUAUUUUAAUGUAAUUUUAUUUUUACUGUAGCAAUUGACGAACUAUAUGCCAAAAAUUUUGUUUUUGUUAUGUAAUGCAUUUCCACAAUGACUGAGUUUUGGCAUAAAUUAUGGUGGACGCACAAUUUCAAGAUCCUGACAUAAUGGUGGCAAUGGGGUUGGAAUUGCAACCCAGCCACUUUUACAUCUCAGACCAACUCUACCUAUUGAUCCAAAAUUGAGUGAACUUUAAAAUUCAUCAAGAACUCUGGUCUUGGACAAUACUAGCACAGUGCCUUAACCUUUGUACUAUCAUUGCCCAUCUGUAUCCAUAAUCCAUUUAUAUUUAAAUAGAUGAUCUGCGGCCUGCUUUGUGUAUCUCCUUCACCUUUAAAAUCUUUUAAGUGCCCACAUUGUGAUUAUACUACUACUCAUCGGGGCCACUUGAAACAGCACAUUCGAAUACACACUAAGGAGCGUCCAUUUGUUUGCAGACUUUGUGGAAAGGACUUUACCCAGAAAAAUAACCUGAACCGUCAUCAAAUUACUCAUGUCAAUGAAGGAAAGUUUACUUGAAAUGUACACGUGGGUUUUAAAUAUGCAUUUUUACCAGAACAAAAGACUACAUUAUCUUAUAAUGUCAUCAUUGGAGAUGUUAACUUACUUAAUUAUGUAUUAUAGCAAAAUUUUCGCAAAAUAAUAAACUUGGAACAUUAAAUUUAAAUCUUAAAUAAUUAGUUGUUAAUGUUAUUUAAAUUUUUUAUUUCUAUCAUUCAAUCUGAGUUUUUAUAAAUACUUUAGCUAAAACUGGACAAAAUAGGUAAAUAAAUACACAUAUGAAACAAUGUAAAUUUUUAUAUCCUAAUUCACUGCUUACUUAAAGUCAACAAGAGUUAAUGAUUUAUUCUAAUCUCAUGUUGUGCUAGAUCAGGGAUGCACAAUCAUUUUCUGGCAGUGGGUCAUUAAAACUGCAAAAUACAUUAUUGGGGGCCAAAAUUAAUGUGAUGCUGUAAUUAUAAAAAGACGAGAAAUAUUUAAUGUCUGUUUGAAUGAGUUACAAAUGUACAAUUGAUCUUUUGCUCUCUUAUAGAUCAUAAAAAAGAUUCAUGUAAAUAGCUUUAAGCAAAUAUACUUUUUAGAUAAAGCAAAUUAUGAUAAAUUUAUAGGCACAUUGACUUUUUCUUUCUUUGACUUUUUUUCUCUUUUAAUUUAUUUGUAAAAAUUCAUAAGUAAUUAUUUUUCACUGCAAACUUUGAACCUACUGCAACUACUUUGAACCUCUGGCAACUACUUUCUGUUACUGAAAAUGGCUGAAUGGAAUUUUUUGUACUUUUUUAUAUUUUUAUUACUAUUUUAGACUGUUCAAGGACUAUGUUAAAAAGAUUUGGGGUCUCUGUGCUUAAUGAAAGAGCCUUAGAAGAAAAAACUAAUUUCUCUUGGGUUCUUCCGCCUAAAUUUUCCUAAUAUCUCCAUCUAGAUUCAGCAUAUGGAAACUAACUUUGACUUUCAUUUAAUAUGUCAUUAGUAAAUUUCUACAAUCAUUAUAUGUACAUAAAAUGAUAGAAAGCUUAGGUCUGUGCUAUAAGAGGUUAAGUUGUACUGAACAUUUUCUUACAAAUUCUGUAACUGCAAUUUUUCAAUUAAGGCAAAAUAAAUUAUGAAAUGUCAUAUUGUGUAUUUUCAA